GCAGAAAGAAACUCAUAUGCCUGGUACCUACAUAGUAAAUAGCAGCUUGCAGGUGUUUCCAAGAUGGCCGUCAAGAGAACAGAAUUGCCUUUGACUUGGGCCUUUGGUUUUACACAAAUACUUGAAAAUCAACGGCAUCAGCUACUUAAUUGUCAUUUUGGGAUUAUUAUAUUGGCUCAUUAAGGACAUACAUUAUGAACAUAUGCCACAUUCAACUGCUCCAGACAUGUAGACGCAUCCGCCAUCUUGGAAUGAUCAUAGUUAUACAUGGAGCAAUGAUGCAGAUUUCCACCCCCACCUUUUCAGCCACUGGCCAGUGGAUGACAGAAAUAACAAAUGGACCUUCUCAGUCUAUGUAGGAGCUUUUCCCUCGGAGGGAACGGAGAGAUAACAGCUUUUUCGAUGGGAAGUGCUAUGGCCUGCUACAAACACCCCUCAGGAAAUGGGGAAAUCUACUGCAUCUGUUUAAAAAGUGCAUCGACUUCACACAAGCCCCCGAAUAGAGGAUAAAUU